rnacentral:piRNA from 1 species
UGGAGUUAUAGGCAGUUGUAAUCUGCCCAGU